rnacentral:tRNA from 1 species
GGCCCAUUAGCUCAGUUGGUUAGAGCGUUGUGCUAAUAACACAAAGGUCGCGGGUUCAAUCCCCACAUGGGCCA